UACGUAGGGUGCGAGCGUUGUCCGGAAUUAUUGGGCGUAAAGAGCUCGUAGGCGGCUUGUCGCGUCGGAUGUGAAAGCCCGGGGCUUAACCCCGGGUCUGCAUUCGAUACGGGCUAGCUAGAGUGUGGUAGGGGAGAUCGGAAUUCCUGGUGUAGCGGUGAAAUGCGCAGAUAUCAGGAGGAACACCGGUGGCGAAGGCGGAUCUCUGGGCCAUUACUGACGCUGAGGAGCGAAAGCGUGGGGAGCGAACAGG
rnacentral:rRNA from 1 species